AUGGCUCGGUCAAGAUGGAGUCUUGCGAGCAGCGAGCUUUCGGUCAUCCCUGUGCGGCGUGGAGAGCGGCGGUGCUUUCCUGGUGAUGCCGGCCUGGGAUUUCUCCGUGGAGAGGCGGGUCUGAUUGUCGCAAGGUCGUUCCUUGGAGUGGGCGACGGCCGUUGCGGGCAGUCCUGGACCUGGCAAGUGCUGCGGUGGCGGCAGUGUGAGGCUUCUUGGCAGUGGUACCAAUCCCAUGGAGGCGUGGCGAUGGGCGAAGCGCGGAUGAAAAUUUUGCACGGCUUCUGCCGGGCCGGCGGUGAUGGCAUCUGUGGAUGUCAUUCCCCUCCUUGGAGGCAUCGUCGAGCGUGUUCGCCUCAUCCCUCGCGCUCUCGGUGUUGGUGGAUGUCUCCGGGUGAAAGCCUAGAUUCGAUGUUCUGA
rnacentral:rRNA from 1 species